UCGGCGCGAUUCGCCUUACGGCUCAGUAACACGUAGCUAACCUGCCCUUAAGUCAAGGAUACUCUCGGGAAACUGAGGUUAACACUUGAUAGGAGAUAUACCCUGGAAUGAUUUAUCUCUGAAACUCGCGCUUAAGGAUGGGGCUGCGGCGGAUUAGGUUGUUGGCGGGGUAAUAGCCCACCAAGCCGAUGAUCCGUAAGGGCUCUUAGCGGAGAGGCCCUGAGAGGGAAUCUGAGACACUAUUCCCAGCUCUACGGAGUGCAGCAGUUAUGAAUCUUUUGCAAUGCGCGCAAGCGUGACAAAGCGAGCCAAAGUGCUUUCCGCACAGGAAAGCUUUUGCCAGCUGUAAAAAGGCUGGCGAAUAAGGACUGGGCAAGACCGGUGCCAGCCGCCGCGGUAAUCCCGGCAGUCCAAGUCGCAGCCAGCAUUAUUGGGUCUAAAACAUCCGUAGCUUGUUUAUUAAGUUCCCUGUUAAAUCCUAUAUCUCAAGUAUGGGGCCGCAGGGAAUACUGAUAAGCUAGAGACCGGAAGAUGUAAGGAGUACGCUCAAGGUAGUAGUAAAAUACGUUAAUCUCGAGCGGACUAACAAUUGGCGAAAGCACCUUACAAGUACGGAUCUGACAGUGAGGGAUGAAGGCUAGGGCGCAAAAGGGAUUAGAUACCCCUGUAGUCCUAGCAGUAAACACUGCUCACUAAACAUUGGUCUCUCUUCGGGAGAAAUCAGUGCUGCAGCGAAGGCGAGAGUGAGCUACCUGGGAAGUAUAGUCGCAGAUCGAAACUUAAAGAUGGCGGGGGGAGCCACAAGGCGAUUCGUUUAACUGCAGACUAGUCCCUUAGUGAGGUUAAUCUGAGCUGCGUAUCAUGUCAUAGCUGGUUCUGUGUGAAUGUUAUCCGCUUCAAGUCAGCAACAUACAGUCGGAAGCUUAGUGUAGCUUGGGUGCCUUAGUGGAGUAACUUAA
rnacentral:rRNA from 1 species